AAGGAUCAUUACCGAGUGCGGGUCCCCCCUGUCCGCAGGGGGACAACAUGGCCCAACCUCCCCACCCGUGAAUACCGUACCUUCUGUUGCUUCGGCGCGGCCUGCCCCCCGCGGGCGGCCCGCCGGAGACCGCCCUUUUCGAAUGCUGUCAUCUGGAAAACAGUUUGCAGUCUGAGUUGGGCAGUCAUGCCAAAACAAAAAUUCAAUUAAAACUUUCAACAACGGAUCUCUUGGUUCCGGCAUCGAUGAAGAACGCAGCGAAAUGCGAUAAGUAAUGUGAAUUGCAGAAUUCAGUGAAUCAUCGAAUCUUUGAACGCACAUUGCGCCCCCUGGUAUUCCGGGGGGCAUGCCUGUCCGAGCGUCAUUACUGCCCCUCAAGCACGGCUUGUGUGUUGGGCCGCCGUCCCUCCCCUCCCUUCCUGGGGCGAGGGGGACGGGCCCGAAAGGCAGUGGCGGCGCCGCGUCCGAUCCUCGAGCGUAUGGGGCUUUGUCACCCGCUCUGGAGGUUGGACCGGGGCCACGCCUCAUCGUGUGGACACCUCUUGAGGUUCCUCCUUUCUCUCUAAGGUUGACCUCGGAUCAGGUAGGGAUACCCGCUGAACUUAAGCAUAU
rnacentral:rRNA from 1 species